UACGAAGGGGGCUAGCGUUGCUCGGAAUCACUGGGCGUAAAGCGCACGUAGGCGGAUUGCUAAGUCAGGGGUGAAAUCCUGGAGCUCAACUCCAGAACUGCCUUUGAUACUGGCGAUCUCGAGUUCGGGAGAGGUGAGUGGAACUGCGAGUGUAGAGGUGAAAUUCGUAGAUAUUCGCAAGAACACCAGUGGCGAAGGCGGCUCACUGGCCCGAUACUGACGCUGAGGUGCGAAAGCGUGGGGAGCAAC
rnacentral:rRNA from 1 species